UACGGGGGGAGCAAGCGUUGUUCGGAUUUAUUGGGCGUAAAGAGCUCGUAGGCGGCUCGGUAAGUCAGGUGUGAAAACUCUAGGCUCAACCUAGAGACGCCACCUGAUACUGCUGUGGCUAGAGUCCGGUAGGGGAGCAUGGAAUUCCUGGUGUAGCGGUGAAAUGCGCAGAUAUCAGGAGGAACACCAGUGGCGAAGGCGGUGCUCUGGGCCGGAACUGACGCUGAGGAGCGAAAGCGUGGGGAGCAAACAGG
rnacentral:rRNA from 1 species